rfam:Lachnospiraceae bacterium 3-1 genomic scaffold acPFp-supercont1.7, whole genome shotgun sequence.
GCACCCAUAGUUUAACGGAUAAAAUACCAGAUUCCGGUUCUGGGGCUGGGGGUUCGAUUCCCUCUGGGUGCA